rnacentral:rRNA from 1 species
GACGAACGCUGGCGGCGUGCCUAAUACAUGCAAGUAGAACGCUGAAGAGAGGAGCUUGCUCUUCUUGGAUGAGUUGCGCACGGGUGAGUAACGCGUAGGUAACCUGCCUUGUAGCGGGGGAUAACUAUUGGAAACGAUAGCUAAUACCGCAUAACAAUAGGUGACACAUGUCAUUUAUUUGAAAGGGGCAAUUGCUCCACUACAAGAUGGACCUGCGUUGUAUUAGCUAGUAGGUGAGGUAACGGCUCACCUAGGCGACGAUACAUAGCCGACCUGAGAGGGUGAUCGGCCACACUGGGACUGAGACACGGCCCAGACUCCUACGGGAGGCAGCAGUAGGGAAUCUUCGGCAAUGGGGGCAACCCUGACCGAGCAACGCCGCGUGAGUGAAGAAGGUUUUCGGAUCGUAAAGCUCUGUUGUAAGUCAAGAACGAGUGUGAGAGUGGAAAGUUCACACUGUGACGGUAGCUUACCAGAAAGGGACGGCUAACUACGUG